rnacentral:rRNA from 1 species
GGUUUCUUGUUUAAAUAGGAAAUUUAACCUGCCCACUGAUAUUUUUUAAGGGCCGCAGUAUUUUGACUGUGCAAAGGUAGCAUAAUCAUUAGUCUUUUAAUUAAGGGCUGGAAUGAAUGGUUGAACGAAGUAAUUACUGUUUUAUAAAAAUAAAAUUGAAUUUAAGUUUUGAGUAAAAAAACUUAAAUGUUAUUAAGGGACGAGAAGACCCUAUAGAAUUUAAUAAAUAUAAUUUUAAUUAAGUUAAAAAUUAAUUUUUGAUUAUUAUGAAGUUUAUUUAAUUGGGGUGAUUGAAAAAUAAAAUAAACUUUUUCUUGAAUUAAAUAAUAAUAAGUAGAUUAUUGAUCCAUAUUUUAGUGAUUGAAAGAUUAAAUUACCUUAGGGAUAACAGCAUAAUUUUUUUCGAGAGUUCAUAUCGAAAAGAAAGAUUAUGACCUCGAUGUUGGAUUAAGAUAAAUUUUGGAUGUAGAUGUUUAAUAAUUAGGUCUGUUCGACCUUUAAAAUCUUACA